rnacentral:misc_RNA from 1 species
GGAAGUAAAUGUCGUAACAAGGUUUCCGUAGGUGAACCUGCGGAAGGAUCAUUCAUAAUAAGUGUUUUAUGGCACUUUUUUAAAUCCAUAUCCACCUUGUGUGCAAUGUCAGGGUUGAUUUUUCUCUCGAGAGGAUCAACCCCAAACAUCAACUAUAUCUCAACUCUUUGUCUGAAAAAUAUUAUGAAUAAAACAAUUCAAAAUACAACUUUCAACAACGGAUCUCUUGGCUCUC